GAACAGUAUAGAGCUGCAAUACCAGAACAGCAUAGAGCUCCAAUACCAGAAUAGCAUAGAGCUCCAAUACCAGAACAGUAUAGAGGUCAAUACCAGAACAGUAUAGAGUUCAAUACCAGAGCAGCAUAGAGCUGCAAUACCAGAACAGCAUUGAGCUUCAAUACCAGAACAGUAUAGACUGCAAUACCAGAACAGCAUAGAGCUGCAAUACCAGAACAGCAUAGAGCUUCAAUACCAGAACAGCAUAGAGUUGCAAUACCAGAACAGUAUAGAGCUCCAAUACCAGAACAGUAUAGAGCUGCAAUACCAGAACAGCAUAGAGCUCCAAUACCAGAACAGCAUAGAGCUCCAAUACCAGAACAGUAUAGAGUCCCAAUACCAGAACAGCAUAGAGCUCCAAUACCAGAACAGCAUAGAGCUCCAAUACCAGAACAGUAUAGAGUUCCAAUACCAGAACAGUAUAGAGUCCCAAUACCAGAACAGUGUAGAGUUCCAAUACCAGAACAGUAUAGAGUUCC